rnacentral:rRNA from 1 species
GACGAACGCUGGCGGCGUGCCUAAUACAUGCAAGUCGAACGCUGAAGGAGGAGCUUGCUUCUCUGGAUGAGUUGCGAACGGGUGAGUAACGCGUAGGUAACCUGCCUGGUAGCGGGGGAUAACUAUUGGAAACGAUAGCUAAUACCGCAUAAGAGUAGAUGUUGCAUGACAUUUGCUUAAAAGGUGCAAUUGCAUCACUACCAGAUGGACCUGCGUUGUAUUAGCUAGUUGGUGGGGUAACGGCUUACCAAGGCGACGAUACAUAGCCGACCUGAGAGGGUGAUCGGCCACACUGGGACUGAGACACGGCCCAGACUCCUACGGGAGGCAGCAGUAGGGAAUCUUCGGCAAUGGACGGAAGUCUGACCGAGCAACGCCGCGUGAGUGAAGAAGGUUUUCGGAUCGUAAAGCUCUGGUGUAAGAGAAGAACGAGUGUGAGAGUGGAAAGUUCACACUGUGACGGUAUCUUACCAGAAAGGGACGGCUAACUACGUG